CCGAGAUAGGGUCCUUCGGGGCCCGACCUCCAACCCUAAUUUACCGACCUUUGUUGCUUCGGCGGGCCGUCGACGCUCAGGCGUCGCCGUCGGCCUUUAGGCUCUCGAGAGCCCGCCGAAGGCCCCUUUAAACUCUCUUUGAACGAGCAGUCUGAGUGAUGUAUAAUAUUAUA
rnacentral:misc_RNA from 1 species